UCUAGAACUCUAGCUAUGGAGUGAACAUUGAAUAGUAUUUGGGCUGCAGGACAGAUUCCGACUUCUCUUUUGAUGUUAAGAUUUGAACUCUAAAACGACGGAAUUAAGUCUUGGACCUUUCAUGAAUGUUUUAGGCCUGUGUCAUAGCUUUUUCAU
rfam:Populus trichocarpa scaffold_7_contig_67, whole genome shotgun sequence.